UAUUAAGAUCGCUCAACUAGACAGGUGCGAGGAGACAAGUGGUGGCUCUCCUUCACCGCAUGCUCUCAUUUCGUUUUCAUCAAAAAAACUUCACUUUAUGUGGAGAAAACAAGACCUUAACAGAACUAAUAACUUGCUAUUUCGGGAUAACGUGUUGUGUCAAUACGUUCCGUGUGCCGCCUCCUGUACUCAGAGCAUUCUUCUGCAUUCUUCUUCUCGAGUGAAUGGAAGAGCAGGUGGUAGUCGCUACGCGUUGCAGAUGAGUAGAGAGCUUUAUACAACGGUAUUGAGCUACUGCGUUCAGGUGGCUGGUUGGCUGGACGUCGUCGUGUGUGGUUGUGUGGCAAAGCACUGAGGCGAACUGGAUGGAUCGGAGCAAGGCCGGGGAAAGAUCCAUGGCUUGAUGAUCCUGAAUGCUGGUGCCGCUGGGAGUGGGGAGCCGCUAGGAGUGGAGAAUGCAAGGGAUUCAUCACAAUGAUCUCGGUGGUGGGUAGAGAGCUCUACACGACAGUAUCGAGCUGCUGCGUUCGGCUGGCUGGUUGGUUGGAUGUCGUCGUGUGUGGUCGUGUGGCAAAGCACUAAGGCAAACUGGAUAGUUCGAAGAAAGGCCGGGGAAAGAUCCAUGGCUUGAUGAUCUUGAAUGCUGGUGCUGCUGGGAGUAGGUGCAGCUCCAGCUCUUGCCAGCUCCAGCUAAUCCAGUGCACACCUCAAGAGAAUGCUGGUGACGCUGGGAGUGGGUGCAGAAUGCUGGUGACGCUGGGAGUGGAUGCAGAAUGUUGGUACCGCUGGGAGUGGGUGCAGCUCUAGCUCUUGCCCCAGUGUUGGAAGCUAAUCCAGUGCAUACUUCAAGAGGUAAGCCACCGUAGGCAGAAGCCACACCUGAGGAGGUAAAACACAAGUCGUGCAGCUCUAAGUCUUGCCGCGAUGUCCACUGCACACCUCAGGAGGUAAGCCGCCAUAGGCAGAAGCCACACCUGGGUAAAACACAAUUACACCUGAGGAAGUAAAACACAAGUCGAGCAAGUUUCUAAGUUUUUUAUUUUUAUUUUUUACAUUAGUUUGUUUUAUGGGUACUGAUUUUGUUCGUGCCUUCAGUUGUAGGUUUUAUCAGAUGAUGAGAAGAAGCCAUUGUAUAUGAUCAGUAUCAUUUUACAAAGAAUUAAGUUUUGGGCCAUCUUGUUCUAGAGCAAGCAAAUGAAUUCAUUUGCAAUAUUUUUAUGACAAUCAAAGUUAACUUUAUGAAUUCAUUUUA